rnacentral:rRNA from 1 species
GCCAAAAAUCUAGCCCUAUUUUUAAUAAAUGAUCCACCAAACGAAAUAAACAAACAAAACCAUUUUCUUCAUUUAGUAAAGGCGAUUGAAAAACUAAUUAGCGCUAUAACAAGAGUACCGCAAGGAAAAGAUGAAAUAAUUAUGAAAUAGACCUUAAGCACAAAAAAGUAGAGACAUAUCCUCGUACCUUUUGCAUCAUGAUCUAACUAGUCUAAUCAAGCACAAAGAACUUCAGUUUGACCCCCCGAAACUAGGCGAGCUACUUCUGGGCAGCCUAACGAGCCCACCCGUCUCUGUUGCAAAAGAGUGGGAAGACCCCCAAGUAGCGGUGACAGACCUAACGAGCCUAGUGAUAGCUGGUUACUUAAGAAAAGGAUCUAAGUCCUACCUAAAGCAUUAUUAAUAUCUAUAAAUACCACACAUGCUUUAGAGCCACUCAAAUGAGGUACAGCUCGUUUGAAAUAAGGAUACAACCUACACCAAUGGGUAAUUUUCUCUACCUCUUUAAUCAAGUAGGCUUAAGAGCAGCCACCUUUAAAAUAGCGUCAAAGCUUUCCUACAUACCACCCUAAUACCACCACUUACCAAGAACCCUUUACACAUAUUAAGUUAUUCUAUACCCUAUAGAAGCAUUUAUGUUAGAACUAGUAAUAAGAAGACCAACCUUCUCUUUAAUGCAAGCAUAAACCAGAAAGGACAAACCACUGUUGAUUAAACAUCAAUGAACACAAAACAGCAACCCCACUAGAAAACCCUGUUUUUAUUAAUGUUAACCUGACACUAGCACAUUACAAGAAAGAUUAAAAGAAAAAGAAGGAACUCGGCAAAUAUUAAUCCCGCCUGUUUACCAAAAACAUCGCCUCUUGACACUUAUAAGAGGUCCAGCCUGCCCAGUGACCAAGUUCAACGGCCGCGGUAUCCUAACCGUGCGAAGGUAGCGUAAUCACUUGUUCUUUAAAUGAGGACUAGUAUGAACGGCACCACGAGGAUUAUACUGUCUCCUUUUUCUGAUCAAUGAAACUGAUCUCCCCGUGAAGAAGCGGGGAUAAACUUAUAAGACGAGAAGACCCUAUGGAGCUUUAAACGACAAUAGCACUGGCCCUUAUUUUAUACACAAAUAUAACCCCUAUUUUGGCCAACAUGACUAUUAGUUUUAGGUUGGGGUGACCGCGGAGCAAAAAUUAACCUCCACAUUGAACGGAGCUUCUCCUGAGCUAAAAACUACAACUUCAAGCACCAAUAAAUUGACAUCAAUUGACCCAACAUGUUGAGCAAUGAACCAAGUUACCCUAGGGAUAACAGCGCAAUCCAUUUCAAGAGCCCCCAUCGACAAAUGGGUUUACGACCUCGAUGUUGGAUCAGGGUAUCCCAGUGGUGCAGCCGCUACUAAAGGUUCGUUUGUUCAACGAUUAAAACCCU